rnacentral:rRNA from 1 species
GAUGAACGCUGGCGGCGUGCCUAAUACAUGCAAGUCGAGCGAACAGACGAGGAGCUUGCUCCUCUGACGUUAGCGGCGGACGGGUGAGUAACACGUGGAUAACCUACCUAUAAGACUGGGAUAACUUCGGGAAACCGGAGCUAAUACCGGAUAAUAUAUUGAACAGCAUGGUUCAAUAGUGAAAGACGGUUUUGCUGUCACUUAUAGAUGGAUCCGCGCCGCAUUAGCUAGUUGGUAAGGUAACGGCUUACCAAGGCAACGAUGCGUAGCCGACCUGAGAGGGUCAUCGGCCACACUGGAUCUGAGACACGGUCCAGACUCCUACGGGAGGCCGCAGUAGGGACUCCUACGCAAUGCGCGAAAGCCUGACGGAGCAACGCCGCGUGAGUGAUGAAGGUCUUCGGAUCGUAAAACUCUGUUAGUAGGGAAGAACAAAUGUGUAAGUAACUAUGCACGUCUUGACGGUACCUAAACAGAAAGCCCCGGCUAACUACGUG